AGCAGCCGCCACGGGAAUACAGAGGGUGCGAGCGUUAAUCGGAUUUACUGGGCGUAAAGCGUGCGUAGGCGGCUUCUUAAGUCGGAUGUGAAAUCCCUGAGCUUAACUUAGGAAUUGCAUUCGAUACUGGGAAGCUAGAGUAUGGGAGAGGAUGGUAGAAUUCCAGGUGUAGCGGUGAAAUGCGUAGAGAUCUGGAGGAAUACCGAUGGCGAAGGCAGCCAUCUGGCCUAAUACUGACGCUGAGGUACGAAAGCAUGGGGAGCAAACAGGAUUAGAUACCCCUGUAGUCCCUGUCUCUUAUAA
rnacentral:rRNA from 1 species